UACAGAGGUCUCAACCGUUGUUCGGAUUCAUUGGGCGUAAAGGGUGCGUAGGCGGUCGGGUAAGUCGGAUGUGAAAUCUCAGGGCUCAACCCUGAAACUGCAUUCGAUACUGCCUGGCUAGGGUACUGGAGAGGAGACUGGAAUUUACGGUGUAGCAGUGAAAUGCGUAGAUAUCGUAAGGGAGACCAGUGGCGAAGGCGAGUCUCUGGACAGUUACCGACGCUGAGGCACGAAGGUCAGGGGAGCAAACGGG
rnacentral:rRNA from 1 species